rnacentral:misc_RNA from 1 species
GAUGAAGAACGUAGUGAAAUGCGAUACGUAAUGUGAAUUGCAGAAUUCAGUGAAUCAUCGAAUCUUUGAACGCAUAUUGCGCUCUUUGGUAUUCCGAAGAGCAUGCUUGUUUGAGUAUCAGUAUACACCUCAAAGCUUUUGGAUUUUUUAAUCGAAAAGCUUUGGACUUGAGCAAUCCCAACACCAAUCUUUUUGAGAUCGGUGGCGGGUUGCUUGAAAUGCAGGUGCAGCUGGACAUUCUCCUGAGCUAAAAGCAUAUUCAUUUAGUCCCGUCAAACGGAUUAUUACUUUUGCUGCAGCUAACAUAAAGGGAGUUUGACCGUAUUGGCUGACUGAUGCAGGAUUUCACAAGGGUCGGCAACGAUUCUUGUUAAACUCGAUCUCAAAUCAAGUAAGACUACCCGCUGAACUUAAGCAUAUCAAUAAGCGGAGGA